rnacentral:rRNA from 1 species
GAUGAACGCUGGCGGCGUGCCUAAUACAUGCAAGUCGAGCGAACGGACGAGAAGCUUGCUUCUCUGAUGUUAGCGGCGGACGGGUGAGUAACACGUGGAUAACCUACCUAUAAGACUGGGAUAACUUCGGGAAACCGGAGCUAAUACCGGAUAAUAUUUUGAACCGCAUGGUUCAAAAGUGAAAGACGGUCUUGCUGUCUCUUAUAGAUGGAUCCGCGCUGCAUUAGCUAGUUGGUAAGGUAACGGCUUACCAAGGCAACGAUGCAUAGCCGAUCUGAGAGGGUGAUCGGCCACACUGGAACUGAGACACGGUCCAGACUCCUACGGGAGGCAGCAGUAGGGAAUAUUCCGCAAUGGGCGAAAGCCUGACGGAGCAACGCCGCGUGAGUGAUGAAGGUCUUCGGAUCGUAAAACUCUGUUAUUAGGGAAGAACAUAUGUGUAAGUAACUGUGCACAUCUUGACGGUACCUAAUCAGAAAGCAACGGCUAACUACGUG